rnacentral:rRNA from 1 species
AGUUUUUUGGUUUUUAAUAAAAAAUAUUUUCUGCUCGGUGUUUGUUAAACAGCCGCGGUAAUUUGACCGUGCAAAGGUAGCAUAAUCAUUUGCUUCAUAAUUGGGGGCUAGAAUGAAUGGGAUUACAAGACACUUACUUUAUUGGGAAGAAAAUAAUAAAUUGCUUUUUUAGUGAAGAAGCUGGAAUGAAGCUAUAAGACAAGAAGACCCUUUUGAGCUUUAUUGAUUUAUUAGUUUUUUACUUUUGUGCAAUUUGGUUGGGGCGACCAAGGAAGGGUUAAUCUUCCUUUAAAUUAUAGUGAUCCAAAGAUUUUGAUUGUUAGAUUAAGUUACCAAAGGGAUAACAGCGUAAUUUUUUUUGAGAGUUCUUAUUAAAAAAAAAGAUUGCGACCUCGAUGUUGACUUAUAAUUUCCUUUUGGUGUAGAAGCUAUUAGGGUAGGUCUGUUCGACCUUUAAAAUUUU